CAGUCGCCGCGGUAACACGUAGGUGGCGAGCGUUGUCCGGAAUUAUUGGGCGUAAAGGGAGCGCAGGCGGACAUAUAAGUCCAUCUUAAAAGUGCGGGGCUCAACCCCGUGAGGGGAUGGAAACUGUAUGCCUUGAGUGCAGGAGAGGAAAGCGGAACUCCCAGUGUAGCGGUGAAAUGCGUAGAUAUUGGGAGGAACACCAGUGGCGAAGGCGGCUUUCUGGACUGUAACUGACGCUGAGGCUCGAAAGCCAGGGGAGCGAACGGGAUUAGAUACCCCCGUAGUCCCUGUCUCUUAUACA
rnacentral:rRNA from 1 species